rnacentral:rRNA from 1 species
UGGCAAAAGUUCGUAACAAGGUUCCGUAGGUGAACCUGCGGAAGGAUCAUUAUCGAGCGAAUCCAAAACGAACGAAAAAGUCUCCCAACGUGCAUACCUUCCAUUUGCAUGUUGUUGUGAGCCACAUGGAAACUCGUACACACGUGGUGGCAGCCGUCUGCUGUGCUUUUUUUAGGCAGACAAUGGCUUACGAGUGGCCGUGUGCUUGUUGAACAACGGUGACCAAUUUGGCGUCUACGCCGUAUCUAGCUUCUGCCUGGACCGUCAGUUGCGAUGAAAGAUGCGGAGAAAGUUCCUUUGUUUUGGCUGCUAAUCAUCAUUGAUGAGCAGCAGCUUAAGGCAGAGUCGAGCAGACUUAAUGAGCCACGCUAGGUGGCCGCCAAAACCCAAAACACAACCGGUCUAUUUGACAUUGUUAUUUCAUUGUAUGUGUUGAAAAUGUACAAAUCUUGGCGGUGGAUCACUCGGUUCGUGGAUCGAUGAAGAACGCAGCCAGCUGCGAUAAAUAGUGCGAAUUGCAGACACAUUGAGCACUAAGAAUUCGAACGCACAUUGCGCUAUCGGGUUCAUUCCCGAUGGCACGUCUGGCUGAGGGUCGAAUUACGGUGAACUGUCUUCACGGUUUUUCUGGACUGUGAAGCAUUCGGCAAGCAAUUGCUGUUGUGUUGUUGGUGAUUCUAUCAUGGACAAUAUGACGAGCGGUUCCUUGCUUAGUGAUGACAAAAGAAGACGUCAACACCGAAUCUACUAUACUACUAAUACUAGUAUAUAGGUGAGGUGCUUUUGGUGGUCACAAAAGUGACAAGUAUGCCAUUUCAUAGGGGCAACAACCAGCAUACGUGAUAAGUUGGCUGGUUGAUGAAACGGCAACGGAAUGACGGACGUCUAUGUGAUCAAAAUGAUACUAUUUGACCUCAGCUCAGUCGUGAUUACCCGCUGAAUUUAAGCAUAUAAUUAAGCGGAGGAAAAAAAACUAAA